AAAAAAAGAGGGAUGCAACACGAGGAC
rnacentral:siRNA from 1 species